GCGAGCAUGAUUGCCGCUAUCUUCUCCAACUGCGCACGAGACUCCCCUACUCCAACCAUCUUCUUCAACUUUGGCGACCGCUAGGGCCUCUAAACCGUCCGACCACCAUUCCUACCGCCUACCCUGGUUGCCUCCCCUUGGCUAGCCCCUUCUAUAGUUGCCGAAGUUGGAGGAACCCUAGCCACCGCUACAGUCGUCUUUGUUUCCGAUGGUCACACGAUGGCGCUGCAUGGGAGCGAUCGCGUGUUAGAAUUUCUGCUUACAUUGCGGCUUGAUAAAGAUAACUAAAGAUCACUUCCGUUUUAUACAUGUUCAUGCCCCUCACAUACAUAUCCGAUAUUAAUAUCAAUGAUCAAUGUAACCACCUGACAUACCUUUUGUGUUCCUUUCAUUUGUUAGGUCGUCUUGCGUUAAUAGUUUGAACUUUUUGAAUUAAGUGGAUCAAAUAAACAGGGGACCUCACAGUAAAAAACAUGAAUAUAUAUACACAAUACAAUAUAAUUAUGAUUAUAGAAAAGGAAAAAAGAAAAGAAAAAAAAUAUGUUCACCUCCUUCCCUGGACCGCGUGGGUAACAAGAAGAUGGUGUGGUGAUGAAAUGCGACGUCGGGGAGAGGUGUUAUUGUAGGAGACGAAGAUUCUAUUCGCC
rnacentral:lncRNA from 1 species